rnacentral:rRNA from 1 species
CCUACGGGGAGCAGCAGUGAGGAAUAUUGGUCAAUGGGCGCGAGCCUGAACCAGCCAAGUCGCGUGAGGGAAGACGGUCCUAUGGAUUGUAAACCUCUUUUGUCGGGGAGCAAAAGACGCCACGCGUGGCGUUCCGAGAGUACCCGAAGAAAAAGCACCGCCUAACUCCGUGCCAGCAGCCGCGGUACUACGGGGGAUGCGAGCGUUAUCCGGAUUUAUUGGGUUUAAAGGGGGCGCAGGCGGAAGAUCAAGUCAGCGGUAAAAUUGAGAGGCUCAACCUCUUCGAGCCGUUGAAACUGGUUGUCUUGAGUGAGCGAGAAGUAUGCGGAAUGCGUGGUGUAGCGGUGAAAUGCAUAGAUAUCACGCAGAACUCCGAUUGCGAAGGCAGCAUACCGGCGCUCAACUGACGCUCAUGCACGAAAGUGUGGGUAUCGAACAGGAUUAGAUACCCUAGUAGUG